GCAACGCAACGGUCAUACGCCGACGCCGGUCUCCAUCGACAAUUACUCCCGCAGGGUGUAGACCCUUGUACACCCCGAAAAGCUACUGGUCGUCGAGAAGUCCGAGCCGAGCGUGAUCCAUGCUACCCCAACAACAACUCCUCCAACACCGCCAAGACCAACGAGGCACGAUGGCGAGGGCGAGCGUGGACAUCGCAAAGGCUAUGCUACACGUGGCGCGUGUACCGACGAGGACACGGGCUCUGCCGCCGCCCACACACACACAUCACCAUCAUCAUGCAUGGAGAACACGAAGCGAAGACGACGAAGACGACCACACAGCUCAAUCGGAGGUAUCUCGCGGAGCAACCCGCGGGAGUAAUUAACCGGGAGUCUUCCGAGGCCCCGGGAACCAGGAGAUCACACAAUCGCCACAGCCAGCUUGGCCGUGCUAGUAGGCCACGGAGCGCACCUUUUUUUU
rnacentral:rRNA from 1 species